UACGGAGGGUGCAAGCGUUAUCCGGAUUCACUGGGUUUAAAGGGUGCGUAGGUGGCUUGGUAAGUCAGUGGUGAAAGCCCGGAGCUCAACUCCGGAACUGCCAUUGAUACUGCUUAGCUUGAAUCAGGUCGAGGUGGAUGGAAUAUUACAUGUAGCGGUGAAAUGCUUAGAUAUGUAAUAGAACACCGAUUGCGAAGGCAGCUCUCUGGGACGGUACUGACGCUGAGACGCGAAAGCGUGGGGAGCGAACAGG
rnacentral:rRNA from 1 species